GAACGCAAGUUGCGCCUGAUGCCAUUAGGUUGAGGGCACGUCUGCCUGGGCGUCACAUAUCGAAGCCUCUUGCCAAUUUCCUAUUGAUUGGUAUUGUGCAAGAUGAUGUUGGCCUCCCGUGAGCACCAUCGCCUCAUGGUUGGUUGAAAAUCGAGACCUUGGUAGAGUGUGCCAUGAUAAAUGGUGCAUGUGUUAAGCACGAGACCAAACAAUCAUGUGCUGCUCUAUUGAAUUUAGCCUCUUUUACCCACAUGCGUGUCUAAACGCUCGUGAUGAGACCUCAGGUCAGGCGGGGCUACCCGCUGAAUUAAAG
rnacentral:misc_RNA from 1 species